UUCUGCCCAGUGAUUUAUUUUUAACGGCCGCAGUACAUUGACUGUGCUAAGGUAGCAUAAUAAAUUGACUUCUAAUUAGAGUCUGGAAUGAAUGGAAUAAUUAGGGCUUACUUUAUUUAAAAUAUUAAUUUUAAUUUAUUUAUUUAGUGAAAAUACUAAAUUUUAAAAUAAAGACGAGAAGACCCUAAGAGUUUUUACAUAUUUACUAUUUUGUGUUUUUGUUGGGGCGACAUAGGAAAAUUAAAUCUUCUUUUAAAAAUAUAACGAUUAUAUUGAUAAAAAAUAAACUACCUUAAGGAUAACAGCCUUAAUAAAAAUUUUUGAUUGUGACCUCGAUGUUGGACUAGGAAAAUUUGCGGCUAGCAGAAGCAAA
rnacentral:rRNA from 1 species